UUGAGGUUAAGUAUUAAUCAUCUGGGAACGUGUUAAACUGGAAAUUGAAGUUGGAAAACGAAGAGAAAAAGGGAAUUUCAAAUUGUUUUGAGUUUGGCCGACCGAAGAAGAGGAAAACGUUGUUUUUCGAAUUAGGGCCGUUCUUGUGAAGGAAAAUUAGACAAAAUGAAAUAAAAUUAAAGAGGAAGUAAAUCAGAAACUCGUAGGAGGCUUUAUUUGAAGAAAUUUGGCCGGAGAAGUAAGGAAAACGAAGAAAAACAGUGGCGGUAGAGUUAUUGCGAAAACAGAGGAUGCUCCGGUUUUUAGCAAAUUCGUGGAGUAAGAGACUAAUUCGAAGCUCCAAAUUUAAAGGAUGAACGGGAGAUGGAGAAAUCAAAAUUAUGAGAGGAGCCGAUUAACAGUAGCGACAAGUUCCUGGUGUCUGCUGAGCCGUCAAACGCCAUUAGUGUUAUUAAACAUCUAUUGUAUUGUUUGUGCAUGUAUUUGAGAAUAUUCCAGGGCAGCUAGAACUUGUGAGUUACAUGUCAUGGGAGGUUUUG